CUGACUUAAACCAAUGAGUAAGGAAAACAAAGCGAGCGGUGAGAGCUGCUCGCCGCGCUACAAAAUAUUGUGUGCAAGUAAUUUUGGAGAGUUAUAGGCUGGUCGAGUGUUGACGCUGCUUACUUUUGCAGAACUCUCUCGUGCGGGCCUCCCUG